CAUGUUUGGCACUGCUUUUUUUAGUGUGGUUGCAGGAGUGAAGUUGAAGACAUGUUUAGAGAGCCGGGCUUUUUUCGAUUCUGAGAACAAGCUACCACCUGAAGCAAAAGCACAAGGGAAUGAAAUUUUUAUAAACGUAAAGACACUGUUCUGGAUGUCAGCUGUAACUAGAGAUCUUGUUGUCCUCUGUUAGAAUCUUCUGUCUCAGGAAGCAGGGUAAAGAAUGGUCACCUUUUUCUCAGUUUCCAAAUAUUCUUCCUCGAGGUAUUUACGUGGGUUUGAUUGCUUUGA